AAUUCGUACUACGUACCACUCAAUGUUACAAGCUCUCGUGCCAGACUCGUGUAACUUCGUCGCUUCUCGGGCACGAUCGUACCUUCGCGAACACACACAUUACACACACAGUGAAUCAUAAGUUGUAGCGGCAGACAGUGUGAUUCUGAAAGUAACUGUGGGAUAGCUGUGGCCGCCAUUGGUGCAACCACGUAGGAACCAAGAUGGAUCCGGUGACCCAAAAUGUUGACUACCUCCUACACAACAAGAAUUAUUGUACCAAGAAAAUGGAAAAGGGAUUUAGUCCUAUCGAGAAGAAGAGGCACAGCUUCCUCAAACGUGUUUCAAUCCCGUGGGUGAUUCCCCUCCUGACCCCUCCCACAGGAGCCCUUGGCCUCGGCAAGCUCCUGCCACCUGCUAACCCCUGGCUCGCCUGCGACGCGUCAAUAUUCGCCGACCACCCUCCAAAUACGACCUCCCUGGUGCAACCCCGUGCGAAAUCCUGCGCAAGCGCCCUAUCAUCUCCUCGACCUAACUCCACUCCACAUUACCACUAUUUUCUUCCUCUACAAAGCAUUCCGGAUGUUCCUCAAUCUUACCUUUUCUUCCCGUUCGAUUUUACCACCGCUAUCGGCGUUGAAUACAAGCCAUGAAAGAAUCCCCUUUUACCCUGCUAUGGAUUAUGGCCGCCGGUGGCCUUUGAAAAUCUUUAAACCAAACAUCGCUUAACCCGGGCUAAUGUAAUUAUUCCAAGAUUCGUGUAUUUUUCUAUUAUCUUAUACGUUGCAGGACGUUGCAUCUAUCAAUUCAAUACUUUCAGUAAGAUUCAGCAAAUUUCAUGUAAACUGAUUGUUUUAUUAAAAUGUUAUUAAACGUCGAGUUUCCAUUCCGAACCUAUUAGCUCCAAGUGGCGCGCUUGGAUUAAUUUCACUGUGUACUUAAGGUACAAGAUAUAUUGAACGAUAUAUCACAGUUUUAUUAAUUUAUGACUCGUGUUCUCUGCAAAAUUAAUAUUAUGAAAAACAUGUAUCUACCGUCACUGUGAAGGGUUUCCUCUUUCCUGUUUGCUUGCAAACCUCUUAAUGUUGUUACAAAAUAAUAAUAAUAAUAAAUGAUUAAACCAUGUUUCUCUAUAAUUACAUAGGAUAAAUGUAAUAAAUUUUACAAUCAAUUACUGCAGUUAGCUUAACAAUAAUGAUACGUUGUUAUUUCAUUUAAGCAUGAAAAUAUAAGGUUUCAAAAUUUGAUAAGAAACAUUUUCCAACUGGUUUAUUCUAUCAAUAAUUAUUUUGAAAAAUAAAUAACGGAUUUAUACAUUACCGGGAUACGUCCUUAAAAUGUAGAUGCAAGCAGUGUGACGGUAAUCAUUAAUAAUUAUUAGUACAAUUGCGCUCGCGGUAUUCGUAACUGGAAUUAGAUUUCUAUAGGAAAAUAUAAACUGUUAAUUCGUACGAUUGAACGAAUCAGUUUUAUUGAUAUUACGUUUAUGUAUUUUGCCGAUGGAGUUACGUUGUUCAACGAUAUAUCAGAUUACGGUGGUUGCAGAUUGCGGAAGAACAUGUGCCUGGUACAUUCUGAUCUGUGUGUUGAUAUCCGCAGACAGCGGAUUCUUCUUCUCGUACCUUACCCUUUCGUGCCUUUGAGAAAUUCAAAGCUCGAUUACCAUUCUGAGAUCCGACCGAUCAACUCUCCUCUCGCCGAGAUUCUCACGUCAAUCUCAGCAAAGACAUUGACGCGAAUCUCUCCAAAGAAGUAAGAAAUAAAUACGGUUACAGUGUUUCUGAAAAUUUUAUCGACAAUCUAUGUUAAACGCUUGAAAAGUAGAAAUUAAUUUUUUUACUAGCUUCGAAGAAAGGGUUGCUAUACAAGGGGAGAAAAUAUUUUUAGAAAGUAGAAAGAUGUUAUCUCAGGACGGUUGGUAGUUUACCAUCGUAAGAUUUUACAAAAUACGUGCGAAAAUGAUCCGUUGGCGCAGUGGACAAGCCCGAAUUCUCGUAACGAGCUGUCACUCGCAGAAAGCCACCCUCCGAAAAACUCUACGUUUGCAAUAUACGCACACGAAUAUAGCUCGAGCAAAUCGACCGACCAUGAUCGAUGUCGACCCUUUUCUUGUUUCCACAUUCAACGACCCUAGUCCUCCGCAUUUCCGUUCUCAUCUUCCCCUUCGUUUUCUUCGAAACUAAACGUUAAUUUGUAUGAAUUAUCUCACGGUUAUAUAACAUUGAUGAGUCUUCGCUCGAAGUCGUACAAUAGCACUGAUAUUACAUCAAUUCGAAGUUUAAGGUUUCGCAUGAAUGAUAAUUUCUACGUUUAUGAAUCGUAGGACGUUUAAGGGAGGGUCAAGAAAUGUCCAUAGAAUCUGAAACGUUCAUUUCGAAGGAAAUCAGAGAAAAUAUAUUUAAUAUAAAAGAUCUAAAUAAUUCAAUUAUGCAUAAUUCCUAUUGGCCAUUCUUGACCCGACAUUCGUGGUGCCAGCAAUUAUCAGGCUAUUCGCUGUCCGAAGGUUGAAACGAAGGUUGAAACGAAGGUAUAAGAGCGGGCUUCUCUUAAAAGCAGAUGAUCGAUUUUAACGACAGAGUUACCACGACAGUUUAAUUAGCAUAAUUGACGAUAUUACGGAGCAUGAUCGAGCAUCGCGCACGCGUACAUGGACGGCGUAGGUCAGGAAGGGGAGGACAUCGAACUCGAGGUUUUGCAGGCACCGAGCAUUGCAAGGUCGUCGAAUCUCUCCGUGACGAUCUUUUGGAGACAAUGACCUUGGGCAAAGUAGCGCAAGGGUGAAAUUAUCAGACCACUCUUAUCGUGAUCUGAAGCGAACCUGUUACACGAACAACUUACACUCGACAGUGCAUUUACUCGAAUCGAUGAUGUUUCAUGAAAAUAUUCAUUAAAAAGUUGAACAUUGUGGGGGUCACUGGUGAUUUGCAUCGUGAAUUAUACAUGCAAUAGAAAAAUAUUAUUUUUAAUAGAAUUCUUACUGUACCAAUAAUAACAUAAGGGCUUCAAUCCCCACAUCAUCAUUUUCCUUAGGAACGCCUAAGAUGAAAGGCAGAAACCCGGGACAUUAUUAUUUUUCCCGAGGAAGUCUGAUUUAAUCGUGAUUCAGUAUUAUUUCAAAUAAAAGUCCGAUUACUUUCAUAAUUCGAAAAUAUUUUUCCUCGAUAAAUGCAGUAUCACUGUGAUAAAUUUCACAUCUUUGAAAUGCAAAGGGAAGCAGGCACAAUCCUUUUCACUUAAGUAUUCCAGAAUUUUUCAAUAUAAGCGAGACCGAUGGCACAUUUAUAGAGAGAUUUGCUCUCGACCGGGAAACGGAUAGAUCACACUUCCCUUUUUCCUUUUCGUCAACGACCUACUGCUUCUUUCGAUUAUUUCCUACCUAUGCCUCGUCUUUCUCCAGAAAAAAAAAGAUGAACGUCUAAUGGAUUUAACUCCCCACGGAGAACGGCGGGGUUGGUUUUGAAAGGGAAGAAGAUUUUCUUUGGUGCUCGAAUCCUCGAGCGGGCUGCACGAUUGAAAAGUGAAUAAGUAAAAUCGUGGGAAAUACUUCGAAUUUUUGGAACUAUUCCAUGGAUACGAUGAUGGAAAUAUUAUAAAAUCCAGUGACAAAAAUUUACUUUGAUUAUUUUCUGAAAUUCUCCCUAAUUUGAUGCAAAUAUAAUCAAGUUUAUGGAGAAUCAACGUACCACUUAUGAUUAAACGAAGGAACAAUUGCAGCAGAACAAAUAUUGAAUUCUCUGUGAUGAACGUAGAUUGGUGGUAAUAAAACACACAGGGGGGGAUACGGAAAAAAUCUUGAUUUCGCUAACAUCGAUCGAUAUUCGAUAAAGCAAUUAGAAGUGCUCUGAGGGUGUACCAAACGAAAUCGAUUCCCAUGAGAUCGAAGAUUCGUAUUCGGUGGGGUGGCUUAUCGAAUUUUACCGGCCAUACCCUCGAGAAUACGUCAAGAUCAAAUUCACCCAGCUGAAAAUAUACAUGUGUAUACACCUAUACCGUACACGUGCGUACAUACUGGGUGUCUUACAAUUCUACUAUUUUAAUCAAAAUUAUCGAACGUGAGAAAUUACUAUUUUUUAAAUUUCAAUUAGCAUCAGUUAGAAUCGAUAAAAAUAAAAAUAAUUUGUUAAAUCGUUACAUUCAUUUAAUGUACGUACACGGUAUCCACUUUUGGUAAUUCUUCUGGUACUUAAACAUUUGCUGGUUACGUGUUGCAUCUGAUGCUGCGUUAAACAGUUAAAUUAUUGCGGCACUAGCGAAUGAAACGCAACUUCAAAAGCUCGGGUUAACGCAGCAUAGAAUAAGCCAGACGCGUAAUUCUAUAUGCACAUACUGCAUAGUUGCGCAUUAUUGUACCAUACAACAUGACAAGGAUUUAGAACAUGGAAUAGCAAAUGAGACAUUUACAUUUUCAUGCGCUCAACUAAACGAAUUAUAUUUAAUUUAUGAUUUGUGUAAUUAUUAUAUGCGAUCCGUUAUAUUCGUUUAGAAAGAAGAGCUUUAAACGUUAACUUUAUCAAUUUCACUUGACCAAUACUGUCUACAUUUUUCAACUAUUUUAUUCGUUCAUUGUACACCCACGAUCAAUUACGCGUAUUUAACGCAACAGACCGUACUGUGUACAUAUAAUUCUGUCUAAUAAUAUUUAAUUACGUAAUGCAUAUAACAAUUAGCUAUGCAUGGAUUAUGUAUGGUAUAAUAUUAAACUGUCGUUAUUUCGAACGUACAACGAACAUUGUAUAAAUUAAAGCAGUGUCAUAGGCAAUUUAACGGGUUAUGUGCAAUCAUUUAAAUACAGAUACUGUAUUAAUGAAGUAAGCAGUUGUAUAAAAUAGAUUUAUGAAUAUAAUUAAUUAGGGUAAUGUGCUUCUUUUCUUGUUAAGCAAGCUUUUAUUGAAAUAAAUUUUAAUCUUAUGGUGGGAGAAAUAGUUGAAUACCACCAACAGCUGCGAUCACAAUUCUAUCAAAAUUAAAGAGCUACAUGGAUGUUAAAUUCAUGAAGCAAUAGUAAUGAAUUGUUGUAUGCAAUCUGUACGUAGUUGCUAAUUUAAAACGACAAUUUACAUGUUUUACGAUAAUUAACAUAAUUAACCUGGGAAAGAUAACGGUUAGUAAUUGCACCCAUUCUGUGUACAUUUAAUUAUACCCUUUUGCGUCAAGUAAAAAAUAGAAUAUUGAAGUAUCAAUAACGAUAAACCAUGUAGAAGAUUUUUGUACGAGAAAUCUCGAGUUUGAUUUUUUUUCUAUUUUGAGAAACGUAUUUGAAGAGAUUCCCUGUUUAGAAGUGGUCCUACACCGAAUCAUCAGUGAAAUUGAUUUAAAGCGCAGUUUGCACGAAAUGAGAACAUCGAAGAUUCGCAAUUACCCAACGAAAUUUCAUUCGAAUCCCAUCGGGGUCGGAAGAGCCACGAAAAAUCCAGCAAAUAUUGCAAUUUGAAAACUCCUAUGGCGGUGGUGAACGUAAAUUAGAUUUUGCGCCGUUUCAAACUGCACGUUUAGGCACUUUUAGAUUCCAAGAAAUUAACGCGAAAAAAACUUGAAUACGAUUUAAACAAAUAGUCAAAACGUCGUAGACUUCAAUAAUUAUAUUUUCGUUACAAUUAAAUCUUCAAAUAAGAUACCUAAUUAAGUUCUAAUUAAAGAAAUUUUCUAUUUCUGUCAAAAGUCUCAAUCGUUCAGUGCAUACUUGUACAAACUUCCGCGGUCUAAUUAUAACGGAAAGGCAGUUUAAAUCGCGGAAACAUAAUGAAAAGCCGGAAACGACGCUAGUCCGUUCGUCACGAACGAAUCGAUCGAACAAGCCACGAGUCAAAAAGAGCCGGUUGUUCUGGUGAUUUCGAGGGUUCGUUGGCCAUCUUUUCACGCUCCACCCUCGUUCUCUCGCUGUGCUCUUGUUCCGGAAGGAAUUUAAUCAGGCCACCCUUCGAAUCCGACCGACACAGACCGAAUUGAAUUGAAUUACUCGUACCGGUGAGGGCAAGAAUUUCUUCCAACGAAUGGAAAAGUACAUGGACUUUUGUUAAAUAUUUGACGAAUUAUUAGCAAUGAUUUUUCCCGAAAGAAAUAAUGGUAAAAAUUAGUCAAUUUUCAAUUUUCUGAGCUACGAAAGAUUUUCAAGGGAUUCAUUUAGUAAUUAUAAUAGAAAUUUUCUUGCACUUCUUUCUGAGACUAUAUUAGCAACAGUUUAUUUCAAAAUAAGGGGUAGUAUAAUAUUAAAAAUUCGGAAAUAAAUUGUUUCUCUUGUUAGAUAAAAUACCAUCGUCAAAUAGCGUAUUAGAAAUUAGAGGGCACCCUAUUGGGGCACGACGCGUGUUCUCUCAUGGCAGUCCAGUACAGAGUACAUAGCACCGUGAACAUAGAGAAUACUCCAUGCACCCCGUACUAGGCUACACAGACAAUGGAGCAUGGUUACACCAUUAAUUGAGCCGAUUCUCGUGCGUUGUACUGAGAUCGGCUAUGUUUCGCAAAAAGGAUUCUACAGAGGACAACAGCUAUGUAUCUCAAACCUUUAUCUACUUACGAGGUUUUGUUGCCGGAAUUUCUAUGAGAAAACAGGUGAUCAUCUCGAUAAAAAACAGAAAAAUUCACCCUCUAUUGUAAGAGUUGAGAUGCAUUUAGUAGAAGAAAUUUUCUUGAAAUUAUUCAACCGUUUAAUCUACUGAAGUAAGAAACAACCAUUUGAACCUUGACCUACAAAUUCGCUAAUUUGUUCAUUGGGUCAAGUGGUCGCUAAAAACUCUUUUGUUAAUGCGACCAAAUUAAAACAAUGAAUUAUUAUGUAAUAUUCACAUUCUCUAUGCCACUAUGAAUCGUUGUGACUUAUAUAAUAUAUAUUUCUAUAUAGCUACUUGUAUAUAUUAAUAUUUAUAUUUAUAUAAAUAAUUAUUGCGUGAAAUUUAAUUAAAAAAAUUUUUUGAAAAGUGAUACUGUAUGUGAACGUUUACUUUAUCCAAGAUGAGUAACGACAUUACUUUACGGGAUGACCUGAUAUUACAGUGAUGGCAGGGUUUUUGUUGCACAAGUACGUUAAAAAGGUUUUAAUCACGUAAAUAGAGAAAAAUAUGAAGGCUGACAGAAAGAAGAAGUGGUCAUACAAUUUUUUAAUCUUAGGUAACCACCUGAAAAGCGUUUCCAGUGAUGACGCUCAUUUGUGUAUGUCAUGAAUACAUGGAUCCACAUAGUUAUCGUUGUACUGCGGAAAGAACUGCAUUUCGUUCGAUAUCACCUGCAUUUCUGAUUUUUGCCUUGAAUGCAUUGGCCGACUUAACGAGAGCCGGCAUUAAAAAGUAAAAUACACCGCCUUUAAUUCAAAUCCAUUUCUGUUUAAUCAUGAAAAUGAGGAAAGUGAACAAAAAUUCUCUGUCUGUCUCUCAUUGCUAUUUUAUCCUUUAUAAUGAA